GAUGAACGCUGGCGGCGUGCCUAAUACAUGCAAGUCGAGCGAACAGAUGAGUAGCGUGCUCCUCUGAUGUUAACGGCGGAAGUGAUAGUACCACGUGGAUAACCUACCUAUAAGACUGGGAGAACUUCGGGAACUCGGAGCUAAUACCGGAUAAUAUUUUGAACCGCAUGGUUCAAUAGUUAAAGACGGUUUUGCUGUCACUUAUAGAUUGGUCCGUGGCGCAUUAGCUAGUUGGUAAGGUAACGGCUUACCAAGGCAACGAUGCGUAGCCGACCUGAGAGGAUGAUCAGCCACACUGGAACUGAGACACGGCCCAGACUCCUACGGGAGGCAGCAGUAGGGAAUCUUCCGCAAUGGGCGAAAGCCUGAUGGAGCAACGCCGCGUGCAUGAUGAAGGUCUUCGGAUCGUAAAACUCUGUUAUUCGGAACGAAAAACUGUCUAAGUAACUAUGCACGUCAUGACGGUACCUAAUCAGAAAGCAACGGCUAACUACGUG
rnacentral:rRNA from 1 species